rnacentral:rRNA from 1 species
AAAACAUGUCUUAUUGAAAAUAAUUUUAAGUCGAUCUGCCCAAUGAGUAUUUAAAUGGCUGCAGUAUAACUAACUGUACAAAGGUAGCAUAAUCAAUUGAUUUUUAAAUGAAAUCUGGAAUGAAAGGAUUAAUGAAAUAUAUACUGUCUCAUAUUUAUUUAAUGAAUUUAAAAUUUUAAUAAAAAUGUUAAAAUUUUUUUAUGGGACGAUAAGACCCUAUAGAAUUUUAUAUUACUUUAUUUUUGUAAUUAAAUAUAAAAUUUAAAUUAAUAUUUGAUUGGGAGAAUCAUUAAAUUUGAUAAAUUUUAAUAAAUAAAAACUUUAAUUAAAGAAAAUUUUUGAUCUUUAAUUUAAAAUUAUUAGAAUAAAUUACCUUAGGGAUAACAGCGUAAUAUUUUUUUAUAGAUCGUAUAGAAAAAAAUGGUUGCGACCUCGAUGUUGAAUUAAGAUAAAUUUUAAAUGUAGAAGUUUAAUAAUUAAGUCUGUUCGACUUUUAAAAUCUUACAUGAUUUGAGUUCAAAUCGACGUAAGU